rnacentral:rRNA from 1 species
UACGAAGGGGGCUAGCGUUGUUCGGAAUUACUGGGCGUAAAGGGCGCGUAGGCUGUGCUGUAAGUCAGGCGUGAAAGGCCCGGGCUCAACCUGGGAACUGCGCUUGAUACUGCGGCGCUUGAAGACGGGAGAGGAUGGCGGAAUUCCCAGUGUAGAGGUGAAAUUCGUAGAGUAUUGGGAAGAACACCGGUGGCGAAGGCGGCAUCUGGCCCGUUAUGACGCUGAG